AUUGAACGCUAGCGGGAUGCUUUACACAUGCAAGUCGAACGAGUGGCGGACGGGUGAGUAAUAUAUCGGAACGUGCCCAGUAGCGGGGGAUAACUACUCGAAAGAGUGGCUCAUACCGCAUACUAUUGGAGCGGCCGAGAUCGGAUUAGCUAGUUGGUGGGGGAAAGGCUGAACAAGGAAACGAGCCGAAGAUGGUUUGAGAGGACGACCAGCCCCACUGGGACUGAGACACGGCCCAGACUCCUACGGGAGGCAGCAGGGGGGAAUGUUGGACAAUGGGGGAAACCCUGAUCCAGCCAUCCCGCGUGUAUGAGAAGGCCAUCGGGUUGUAAAGUACUUUUGGCAGAGAAGCGGUAUCUGCAGAAUAAGCACCGGCUAACUACGUGCCAGCAGCCGCGGUAAUAC
rnacentral:rRNA from 1 species